UCCUGUCUGAAUAUGGGGGGACCAUCCUCCAAGGCUAAAUACUCCUGACUGACCGAUAGUGAACCAGUACCGUGAGGGAAAGGCGAAAAGAACCCCGGCGAGGGGAGUGAAAAAGAACCUGAAACCGUGUACGUACAAGCAGUGGGAGCACCCUUUUGGGUGUGACUGCGUACCUUUUGUAUAAUGGGUCAGCGACUUAUAUUCUGUAGCAAGGUUAACCGWAUAGGGGAGCCGGAGGGAAACCGAGUCUUAAYYGGGCGUUAAGUUGCAGGGUAUAGACCCGAAACCCGGUGAUCUAGCCAUGGGCAGGUUGAAGGUUGGGUAACACUAACUGGAGGACCGAACCGACUAAUGUUGAAAAAUUAGCGGAUGACCUGUGGCUGGGGGUGAAAGGCCAAUCAAAC
rnacentral:rRNA from 1 species